UCUUUGCAAGGUACUAUAUGAAAUAAAGGAUCGGCUAACUCCCGUGCCAGCAGCCGCGGUAAUACGGAAGGAUUCGAGCGUUAUCCGGAUUUAUUUGGGUUUAAAGGGUGCGUAGGCGGUUUCUUAAGUCUGUGGUGAAAUUUUGCGGCUCAACCGUAAGCGUGCCAUGGAAACUGGGGGACUUGAGUGUAGAUGAAGUAGGCGGAAUUUGUGGUGUAGCGGUGAAAUGCUUAGAUAUCACGAGGAACUCCGAUUGCGCAGGCAGCUUACUAAGUUACAACUGACGCUGAUGCACGAAGGCAUGGGGAUCAAACAGGAUUAGAUACCCUGGUAGUCCAUGCAGUAAACGAUGAUUACUGGCUGUUUGCGAUAUACCGUAAGCGGCUGAGCGAAAGCGUUAAGUAAUCCACCUGGGGAGUACGUUCGCAAGAAUGAAACUCAAAGGAAUUGACGGGGGCCCGCACAAGCGGAGGAACAUGUGGUUUAAUUCGAUGAUACGCGAGGAACCUUACCCGGGCUUGAAAUGCAUCUGACAGACCAAGAGAUUGGUUCUCCUUCGGGCAGAUGUGUAGGUGCUGCAUGGUUGUCGUCAGCUCGUGCCGUGAGGUGUCGGCUUAAGUGCCAUAACGAGCGCAACCCCUAUCGCUAGUUGCCAUCAGGUUAAGCUGGGCACUCUAUCGAGACUGCCAUCGUAAGAUGUGAGGAGGGUGGGGAUGACGUCAAAUCAGCACGGCCCUUACGUCCGGGGCGACACACGUGUUACAAUGGGUGGUACAAAGGGCAGCUACUAGGCGACUAGAUGCUAAUCUCCAAAACCACUCUCAGUUCGGAUCGGAGUCUGCAACUCGACUCCGUGAAGCUGGAUUCGCUAGUAAUCGCGCAUCAGCCACGGCGCGGUGAAUACGUUCCCGGGCCUUGUACACACCGCCCGUCAAGCCACGGAAGUUGGGGGUACCUGAAGUUCGUAACCGCAAGGAGCGACCUAGGGUAAAACCGAUAACUGGGGCU
rnacentral:rRNA from 1 species